rnacentral:lncRNA from 1 species
UGCUGCUUGAAAAUACAACAAACUGUCUUCAGAAUACUUUUAUGUGUUGUUGAAAGAAAGCACUGCAGCUAAUAUAGCUACAAAGGAGAAACAGUUAUUCUUAAAUGUCAUCUACUUGCUGGACCUGAACAGGAAUUCACUAUGGAGCUCAUACAACUACCACCUUCAGCUAUUAAUCAAGGAGUCAUUCAACUGAGAAAGGGGAGAUUGAGAUG